UACGUAGGGUGCAGGCGUUAAUCGGAAUUACUGGGCGUAAAGCGUGCGCAGGCGGCUCCUUAAGUCAGAUGUGAAAUCCCCCGGGCUUAACCUGGGAACUGCAUUGGUGACUGCAUUGCUGGAGUAUGGCAGAGGGGGGUGGAAUUCCACGUGUAGCAGUGAAAUGCGUAGAGAUGUGGAGGAACACCGAUGGCGAAGGCAGCCCCCUGGGCCAAUACUGACGCUCGAUGCACGAAAGCGUGGGGAGCGAAACAAGG
rnacentral:rRNA from 1 species